rnacentral:lncRNA from 1 species
AAGCUUUCUGCCAGUGCCUGAAGGCAGGGCACCAUCUUGUGGCAUGAAAGGAGUUUGUCUGCAUGUCUGUAGAAGAGCAGUCCCGAUUUUUCUCCGCUAGGUAGAGCCUGGUAGUUUCUGACCUUUUUUUCUUGCAGCCCUGCUUGUCUUCCGGGGCUUUAACGCCCUCCGCGACUUUCCCUACCUGCCCCCAGUACUUGUUUCUCCCCAAGUGCUGAGACCACCGCUUGCAGUGAGGCUUGCGUUGACAAACUUGGCCAGCUCCGUGUUGUUCUCGUACUGGGAGGGUUACAGAGCUGCACAUGGAAUUGCCCCAGGACAGGGUCUGUUAGGCCCUCAGCCUGGUUUUGAGCUGCU